rnacentral:tRNA from 1 species
UUCCCUCAGGUUCAGACGGUAAAGCAUCUGCCUCCAAUGCAGGAGACCCAGGUUAAAUUCCUGGGUUGGGAA